rnacentral:rRNA from 1 species
CGGGAAUUUUGGGCAAUGGGCGGAAGCCUGACCCAGCAACGCCGCGUGAGGGAUGAAGUAUUUCGGUAUGUAAACCUCGAAAGAAUGGGAGGAAUAAAUGACGGUACCAUUUAUAAGCUCCGGCUAACUACGUGCCAGCAGCCGCGGUAAUACGUAGGGAGCAAGCGUUGUUCGGAUUUACUGGGCGUAAAGGGCGCGUAGGCGGCGCGGUAAGUCACUUGUGAAAUCUCUGAGCUUAACUCAGAACGGCCAAGUGAUACUGCUGUGCUAGAGUGCGGAAGAGGCAACCGGAAUUCUUGGUGUAGCGGUGAAAUGCGUAGAUAUCAAGAGGAACACCUGAGGCGAAGGCGGGUUGCUGGGCCGACACUGACGCUGAUGCGCGAAAGCCAGGGGAGCAAACG